UACGAAGGGUGCAAGCGUUAAUCGGAAUUACUGGGCGUAAAGGGUGCGUAGGCGGUUGUUUAAGUCUGUCGUGAAAUCCCCGGGCUCAACCUGGGAAUGGCGAUGGAUACUGGCUCGCUAGAGUGCGGUAGAGGAGAGUGGAAUUCCCGGUGUAGCAGUGAAAUGCGUAGAGAUCGGGAGGAACAUCAGUUGCGAAGGCGGCUCUCUGGACCAGCACUGACACUGAGGCACGAAAGCGUGGGGAGCAAACAGG
rnacentral:rRNA from 1 species